rnacentral:rRNA from 1 species
GGAAAUCUCACCAGGCCCGGACACUGGAAGGAUUGACAGAUUGAUAGCUCUUUCUUGAUUCGGUGGGUGGUUGUGCAUGGCCGUUCUUAGUUGGUGGAGUGAUUUGUCUGGUUAAUUCCGAUAACGAACGAGACUCUGUCCUGCUAAAUAGUGACGCGGUUCAUCGAACCGUGGGCCACUUCUUAGAGGGACUAUCGGAUUCAAACCGAUGGAAGUGUGAGGCAAUAA